rnacentral:rRNA from 1 species
AGCAGCCGCCGCGGGAAUACGUAGGGUGCAAGCGUUAAUCGGAAUUACUGGGCGUAAAGCGUGCGCAGGCGGUUGUGUAAGACAGGCGUGAAAUCCCCGGGCUCAACCUGGGAAUGGCGCUUGUGACUGCAAAGCUAGAGUGCGGCAGAGGGGGAUGGAAUUCCGCGUGUAGCAGUGAAAUGCGUAGAUAUGCGGAGGAACACCGAUGGCGAAGGCAAUCCCCUGGGCCUGCACUGACGCUCAUGCACGAAAGCGUGGGGAGCAAACAGGAUUAGAUACCCCUGUAGUCCCUGUCUCUUAUAC